UACGGGGGGGGCAAGCGUUGUUCGGAAUUACUGGGCGUAAAGGGCUCGUAGGCGGCCAACUAAGUCGGACGUGAAAUCCCCAGGCUCAACCUGGGAACUGCGUCUGAUACUGGCGGGCUUGAAUCCGGGAGAGGGAUGCGGAAUUCCAGGUGUAGCGGUGAAAUGCGUAGAUAUCUGGAGGAACACCGGUGGCGAAGGCGGCAUCCUGGACCGGCAUUGACGCUGAGGCGCGAAAGCUAGGGGAGCAAACGGG
rnacentral:rRNA from 1 species